GGAGAGGUGCUCGAGUGGCUGAAGAGGCACGCCUGGAAAGCGUGUAUACGUCAAAAGCGUAUCGGGGGUUCGAAUCCCCCUCUCUCCG
rnacentral:tRNA from 4 species